rnacentral:lncRNA from 1 species
UUCCACCUCAAUACACUACAAAAAAGGUAGAAUUAUGGAAAUAGUAUUAUAGAUAAUCAUGGAAAUCAAUGAAAUAAGAAACAGUAGGAAGAAAUUUAUGAAACUAAAACUGGUCUUUGAAAAUAUUAAUAAAGUGAAAAAUAUCUCGUCAAAGAGAUAGCGAUGAAGAUAGAGAUAGAGAAUCACAUCAUAUAAAGAGCAGAAAUGAGAUGAGGAUGGCAUUGGACAUCUCAAUGACAAUACUGGGACCUAGGAUGGAGGGGAUCCACACAGGAAAGGAGCAAAGGGAACUCCAGGCUGACUGCCAUGCUUCCGAUCUGGAGACAGUCACUAAAAGCCAGUCAAAAGUAAACAGAUAAGACUUCUGUGUGCAGCCAUGACUGAGUAACCAAUACUAGCCUUAUCUUCCCGCUGUAAACUGGAAAACUGGAAAAAUAUGUGUAACUAAGCUUUAGACAUCUGAGAACAAGCAUCUGGGGACUGGGAUUUAAGAUGGAAGAGAAAAAAA